rnacentral:rRNA from 1 species
UUUAUGGAGAGUUUGAUCCUGCUCAGGACGGUAACGCUGGCGGCGUGCCUAAUACAUGCAAGUCGAGCGGAGAAUGAAAAGCUUGCUUUUCAUUCUUUAGCGGCGGACGGGUGAGUAACACGUGGGCAACCUGCCCUGUAGACUGGGAUAACUCGGGAAACCGAAGCUAAUACCGGAUAAUCUUAGGAGUCGCAUGGUCUUGGCAAAGUUGGGCUUUACUCUUAACACUACAGGAUGAAGCCCGCGGCGCAUUAGCUAGUUGGCAGGUACGGCCUACCAAGUGACGAUGCGUAGCCGACCUGAGAGGUGAUCGGCCACACUGACUGAGAUGCACGGCCUGUGACUCCUACGGGAGGCAGCAGUAGGGAAUUUUCCGCAAUGGACGAAAGUCUGACGGAGCAACGCCGCGUGAACGAUGAAGGCCUUCCGGGUCGUAAAGUUCUGUUGUUUAAGGGAAGAACAAGUACCGUUCAAAUAGGUCGGUACAUGACGGUGCCUAACGAGAAAGCCACGGCUAACUACGUGCCAACAGCCGCGGUAAUACGUAGGUGGCAAGAUUUGUCCGGAAUUAUUGGGCGUAAAAGCGCGCGCAGGCGGUUUUCUUAAGUCUGAUGUGAAAGCCCCCGGCUCAACCGGGGAGGGUCAUUGGAAACUGGGAACUUGAGUGCAGAAGAGGAGAGUGGAAUUCCAUGUGUAGCGGUGAAAUGCGUAGAUAUAUGGAGAACACCAGUGGCGAAGGCGACUCUCUGGUCUGUAACUGACGCUGAGGCGCGAAAGCGUGGGGAGCAAACAGGAUUAGAUACCCUGGUAGUCCCACGCCGUAAACGAUGAGUGCUAGGUGUUAGGGGUUUCGAUGCCCUUAGUGCCGAAGUUAACACAUUAAGCACUCCGCCUGGGGAGUACGACCGCAAGGUUGAAACUCAAAGGAAUUGACGGGGGCCCGCACAAGCAGUGGAGCAUGUGGUUUAAUUCGAAGCAACGCGAAGAACCUUACCAGAUGACAUCCUUAUGACAUCCUGAGAUAGGGCUUUCCUUCGGGGACAUAAGUGACAGGUGGUGCAUGGUUGUCGUCAGCUCGUGUCGUGAGAUGUUGGGUUAAGUCCCGCAACGAGCGCAACCCUUGAUCUUAGUUGCCAGCAUUCAGUUGGGCACUCUAAGGUGACUGCCGGUGAUAAACCGGAGAAGGUGGGGAUGACGUCAAAUCAUCAUGCCCCUUAUGACCUGGGCUACACACGUGCUACAAUGGAUGGUACAAGGGCUGCGAGACCGCGAGAGGUUAAGCCAAUCCCAUAAAGCCAUUCUCAGUUCGGAUUGUAGGCUGCAACUCGCCUACAUGAAGCCGGAAUUGCUAGUAAUCGCGGAUCAGCAUGCCGCGGUGAAUACGUUCCCGGGCCUUGUACACACCGCCCGUCACACCACGAGAGAGUUUGUAACACCCGAAGUCGGUGGGGUAACCUUUUAGGAGCCAGCCGCCCUAAGGUGGGACAGAUGAUUGGGGGUGAAGUCGUAACAAGGUAGCCGUAUCGGAAGGUGCGGCUGGAUCACCUCCUUU